UCAAUGUGGAGGCUAUAUACAGGGGGUACUGGUACAGAGUCAAUGUGGAGGCUAUAUACAGGGGGUACCAGUACAGAGUCAAUGUGGAGGCUAUAUACAGGGGGUACCAGUACAGAGUCAAUGUGGAGGCUAUAUACAGGGGGUACUGGUACAGAGUCAAUGUGGAGGCUAUAUACAGGGGGUACUGGUACAGAGUCAAUGUGGAGGCUAUGUACAUGGUGUUAUGGUACAGAGUCAAUGUGGAGGCUAUAUACAGGGGGUACCGGUACAGAGUCAAUGUGGAGGCUAUAUACAGGGGUACCGGUACAGAGUCAAUGUGGAGGCUAUAUACAGGGGUACUGGUACAGAGUCAAUGUGGAGGCUAUAUACAGGGGUACCGGUACAGAGUCAAUGUGGAGGCUAUAUACAGGGGUACUGGUACAGAGUCAAUGUGGAGGCUAUAUACAAGGGGUACUGGUACAGAGUCAAUGUGGAGGCUAUAUACAAGGGGUACCGGUACAGAGUCAAUGUGGAGGCUAUAUACAGGGGGUACUGGUACAGAGUCAAUGUGGAGGCUAUAUACAGGGGGUACUGGUACAGAGUCAAUGUGGAGGCUAUAUACAGGGGGUACUGGUACAGAGACAAUGUGGAGGCUAUAUACAGGGGGUACCGGUACAGAGUCAAUGUGGAGGCUAUAUACAGGGGGUACCGGUACAGAGUCAAUGUGGAGGCUAUAUACAGGGGGUACUGGUACAGAGUCAAUGUGGAGGCUAUAUACAGGGGGUACCGGUACAGAGUCAAUGUGGAGGCUAUAUACAGGGGGUAAAGGUACAGAGUCAAUGUGGAGGCUAUAUACAGGGGGUACAGGUACAGAGUCAAUGUGGAGGCGACAUACAGGGGGUACUGGUACAGAGUCAAUGUGGAGUCUAUAUACACGGGGUACAGAGUCAAUGUGGAGGCUAUAUACAGGG
ensembl:lncRNA